ANCACUAAAGCACCGGAUCCCAUCAGAACUCUGAACUUAAGUGUGCUUGGGCGAGAGUAGUACUAGGAUGGGUGACCUCCUGGGAAGUCCUCGU
rnacentral:rRNA from 1 species